UACGGGGGGGGUAAGCGUUGUUCGGAAUUACUGGGCGUAAAGGGCUCGUAGGCGGCCAACUAAGUCAGACGUGAAAUCCCUCAGCUUGACUGGGGAACUGCGUCUGAUACUGGAUGGCUUGGAUUUGGGAGAGGGAUGCGGAAUUCCAGGUGUAGCGGUGAAAUGCGUAGAUAUCUGGAGGAACACCGGUGGCGAAGGCGGCAUCCUGGACCAAUAUUGACGCUGAGGAGCGAAAGCCAGGGGAGCAAACGGG
rnacentral:rRNA from 1 species